GAAAUUGGUCCUCAUUCGAAAAAGAGUCCACAAAGCAUUGAGCCAGAUUAGGUGAAGGGGCAUUGAUUAGGAGGUGAGAUCGAGGAGGUGAGUUUGGGCUGUAUCUGAAAAGGGGUUAGAUUUUCUCCUGUUGCUGGUGAGGUACCUAAAGAAUUGGAGGGGUUAGUCUGCUUCAGGUAGAUCACUCUGCACCCCUAAGGACAGGUGUCAAGUGACGGGGCCAGGGGAAUAAUUGAGCCACCGACUGAGUGAGGUGAAACAUCUGAACUCCUGUCUGGCCAGAACUGUCAGUUGCCUUGCUCUCUGCCACAUCUCUCCCGACAGACCAGGACAGGGUGGAUGCCUCGACCUGACUCUCUAUUUACGUGGCUGGGUGAUUGGGCGCUUGUGAAGAAAACACCGGCAUAUGUUGGUGACACAGUAAAUCCACAUCUACCUGCUAGUGUAAGAGUCUCAGCAUCACACAGCAAUCAUUUUGGGUUUUCUUCCAAGUCUUUUCAUCUUAUAGGUAUGUUCUGCAGACCUCAGCACAGCUCACUUCUACAGCCAAGGUUUUGCAGAACAAUAUGAUCAUCUUUAACUUUGAGAAAGCUGCUCUCUAAGAUCGUCUGGAU
rnacentral:lncRNA from 1 species